rnacentral:lncRNA from 1 species
CUAAGGGGCACCUCUGCCAGGUUAAAGGUGGCAGAAACUCUGAGGAAGUCAAAGUGCCUGAGCAUGUGGGCCACUUUCUCAGCGUUCCUCCCUUCAUUCAGGAAGUCCAACUCGAGAGGCAGGUUCUUCUUCGCUUCAUCCACCAGCCACAUGAAUUCAAAAUCUGGGAAAAGUUGCUUCACGGCCAGGACAAGCACCUGAAAGCCACCAAGCAACCUGUCAGCCAGUCAGCCCACGGCCCCCACCACGGAAGGUACAUGUCCUACCCCGCUGGGGGAUGAUUCUGUGCGCUGUGUAUUCAGAUGCUGAUUACUGGGCCCAGAGAUCAGGUCGCAGCCCUGACAGGCAUUGCCAAGCAUCUCCUGUCUUACUUUCAUGUAAAAAUUGUUUUCUGUCACCUCUGGUUGGUUAAUAAAGAGCUGAGCAGCCAAUAGCUGGACGGGAGAGAAGAGAUGAGACUUCCGAUCCCAGUGAGGGGGAUCCUGGGUGGAGGAAGGAGAGGAGGGAGGUCACCAUGAAGAAGUUGCCAUGAGAGGCUACGAGAGACAGAGACACCAUGGAAAGGACGGACGGAGCAGGAGCAGCCAGAGCAGGACCAAGAUGGCAGGUGGCUGGGAAGUAGGCCAGACUGGCAUAGUUGAGUUAAAACAGAUGAGAACCCCGUCCAACUAAAGUGCAAGAAGCUUUUUAAUAAAU